AGCUACUCAGGAUGGUGGAGAAAGAUCACCAAGGGGGUGUGAAAAAAUCAAUUCUUUGAAAGAAACCAAUGGUCAAGGACAAAUUGAUCUUCCUGAGAGUGCUAAGUUCUUGGUGGUUACACACAGCACAGCUCCAAAAACAAAUCUGCAGGUCGUGCCUAUGAUGGUUAAGGGUGAAAGUGGCGACAAUGUUGCAUUGUAUGACUCUGAAUUGUUGUCUCUGGAAAUGGGAUUAAAUGUGCCCACACAACCACAAAUUCACAUAUAGGAAGGCAAUCAGAUGUGGGAUUUUAGACAGUAGUCACUUCAAAUUUCAAAAUUUACACUAAAAUAUUUGUUACAAGUUGUGAUUUUUUUUUUCAGUGGCUGUAAGUAUAGGCUAAAGUAUUUCAUCAAUUGGCUGACUAAGACAUUUUUUUGGUUGUUUUAUUAGAAGGUUCUGCAUUGUGGCCAAGCUUGUCUCCGAUAGCAUCAGCUGGGAUUACUAGUGCUUCUUAUUUGCAGUAAAUUUCUUUUAUUCCACAUCAUUUUGACCUAUUCUCCCCUCUUCAGCAUGUCCUGAUUUGAUGGAUUUUCCUUCUGAUGGUCGUCUUCUGCUAAAGCUCAAGAUUGACUGAAUACUGCUAUUGGUGUCUCGAAACAGGAUUUGAUGGAAAGUUGUUCCUCUGGUGGAAAGUUGUAGCUUAGGGUUCCAUUGGUGAAGCCUGAUGAUGACUCUAUGGAUGCAAAGUUUGUUGCUUUGGUGAGUAAACAUGUACAGUGAUGUUGUGAAGGUCUUCAAAUCUAUAUAGCUACGUUGGGUCCUGUAUUGUGUAACUAUUUCUCUUUACACAUGCACUUGUCAUAUUUUCUUUUUCUUUUACUCAAAUGUGGACUUCUUAGUUGUCAAAUUUGACUUAACUUGUUACCUACUAGUUUAUGAUCCUAGGACACAAAUGAUUAAGCUCUGAAAGAGUUGUUAAACUCAGUUCCUAUGCUGAUAUAUGCCAACGUUAUUUUGCUCCUUUGGCUCUAACCGGCUUCUUUAGAUGGUGUAAAGGUUGA